rnacentral:rRNA from 1 species
UAAAUCCUACGGGGCGCAGCAGUGAGGAAUAUUGGUCAAUGGCCGGGAGGCUGAACCAGCCAAGUCGCGUGAGGGAAGACGGCCCUACGGGUUGUAAACCUCUUUUGUCAGGGAGCAAGAGGCGGGUCGAGACCUGCUGUGAGAGUACCUGAAGAAAAAACAUCGGCUAACUCCGUGCCAGCAGCCGCGGUAAUACGGAGGAUGCGAGCGUUAUCCGGAUUUAUUGGGUUUUAAGGGUGCGCAGGCGGAGG